GAAAUGCGAUAAGUAAUGUGAAUUGCAGAAUUCAGUGAAUCAUCGAAUCUUUGAACGCACCUUGCGCUCCUUGGUAUUCCUUGGAGCAUGCCUGUUUGAGUAUCAUGAAAUCUUCAAAGUAAAUCUUUUGUUAACUCAAUUGGUUUCUACUUUGGUAUUGGAGGUCUUUGCAGCUUCACACCUGCUCCUCUUUGUUCAUUAGCUGGAUCUCAGUGUUAUGCUUGGUUCCACUCGGCGUGAUAAGUUAUCUAUCGCUGAGGACACUGUAAAAGGUGGCCAAGGUAAAUGCAGAUUAACCGCUUCUAAUAGUCCAUUGACUUGGACAAUACUUUUAUGAUCUGAUCUCAAAUCAGGUAGUACUACCCGCUGAACUUAAGC
rnacentral:misc_RNA from 1 species